rnacentral:tRNA from 1 species
GCCGGCGUGUCGGAAUUGGCAGACGAGACAGACUCAAAAUCUGUUGUCCAUGAGGGCGUGUGGGUUCGAGUCCCACCGCCGGCA